rnacentral:tRNA from 1 species
GGCCUGAUGGUCUAGUAGUAUGAUUCCUUGUUAGGGCGUUGCGAAAGCGACUUGCAAUAUCGAGGAGGUCCCGGGUUCAAUUCCCGGUCAGGCCC